UACGUAGGGUGCAAGCGUUAAUCGGAAUUACUGGGCGUAAAGCGUGCGCAGGCGGUUGUGCAAGACAGAUGUGAAAUCCCCGGGCUUAACCUGGGAACUGCAUUUGUGACUGCAUAGCUGGAGUGCGGCAGAGGGGGAUGGAAUUCCGCGUGUAGCAGUGAAAUGCGUAGAUAUGUGGAGGAACACCGAUGGCGAAGGCAGCCUCCUGGGCCAAUACUGACGCUCAUGCACGAAAGCGUGGGGAGCAAACAGG
rnacentral:rRNA from 1 species